rnacentral:rRNA from 1 species
UACGUAGGGGGCAAGCGUUGUCCGGAAUCAUUGGGCGUAAAGAGCGCGUAGGCGGUCCGGUAAGUCCGCUCUGAAAGUCCGGGGCUCAACCCCGGGAGGCGGGCGGAUACUGUCGGGCUAGAGUCCGGAAGAGGCGAGUGGAAUUCCUGGUGUAGCGGUGAAAUGCGCAGAUAUCAGGAGGAACACCAAUGGCGAAGGCAGGUCUCUGGGCUGACACUGACGCUGAGGAGCGAAAGCGUGGGGAGCGAACAGG